rnacentral:lncRNA from 1 species
AUAAUAAUACUUUUGAAGAUCUCCGGAUCUUACAAUGUCAAUCUCUAGUAAUUAGCACCCCAACCUGAAAACAGGUAGUUCAGGUAGUGGAGGCAAUGCAAAUUGCAAUGUCCCCUAAUCAUGAACUCUGGCCUUAAUGAAUGCUACCAUGAAAACCAAAAAGUGUGGGAAAAAUCAAACCAUAGCCCAACUUGUUCUCCAUGGCCAUUAUCUGAUAAAUGAGAGAGACAAACAAAAUCAUUACUUGCACAAACGUUUUCAUCUUAGUGAGCUUAUAAAAAAUAAAUUCUUCCCACAGCAUAUAUAUAGGACAAUAAUUUUAAGACAUGCUUUAUGAUCUUUAGGAAAAGUUGAUUCCUCUAAAUUAUGCUAAACCAAUUAUUUAAGUACACUAUUUAGCCAUAAUUAAUUAAUUAUAAUAUCUUUUGGACAUUCUUAUAAUAACAUCCCACUAUAAGGCCACUACCAACUUGGAACAAGGAGAAUAACUAAUCCAAAAUUAUUUAAUUUCUUUAAUGUUGAAUAAUAACUAAUAGGGACACGCUACUCUAAAGAUUAUUUUGUAUAGCGAUAAUACUAAAGAAAUUGAAAAAAAAAUAGCUAAAAUUUAUUUUAUUUAACAUUUAUUAAUUAUCAUAACAAUUAAUAAAUAUUAAAUAAGGUAAGUUAUAAUUCUUUUUAAUUAAUUUUUUUUAGAAAAAUAUAGGUAGACAAUGAAAAUAUUAAACAAUGUAAAUAAUAGAUAUAUCGGAUAUUUAAUUUACUAAGUGUGUGAAUAGUUAUUCUAAUAUUAAGAUUUAAGUAAGUAAUUUGGGAUGUAAUGUAUUUUAUUUGAAUUGAACUAAUUUUAAGGUCCAUUAUUUAUAUUAUUCAAAAAAAAUUAUUAGAUACCUAACAUAACUCAUUUUUUUUGUUACUAUACAUUUCUAUUUGUCUAGAUUGUAUUUUUGCCGUUGAAAACAGUUACACAUGUGGUAUUAAUAGCGUGCACUAACACUAUUAGUUAAUGAUUUUAUAUUUUAAAAUGAAUCUCUUUAUUCUCAGUAUAAAUUUAUAUUUUCAUAGUAUAAAUUUAUAUUUUCACAUUAUAAUUGACCUAGCUAAUAUAAUUCCAAUUAGAUGUUGAAUUGAAUGAGGUUGAUCAUCAAGCUCCUGAUCUUGGUUCCAAUCAUUUUCUCUCACUUUUGAAGUCUAUGCACGCAUGUCCAUUAGGCUUAUGUUGUACAAGACUACAAGAGAAUCUGCAUUGAUGUUUUCCACUCUACAUGGUUUUUUACCUAAGCACCCUUGGCUCUUUUACCGAAAUAUGCUCGUUUCAUUGUGAGGGCAAUGACAAAUUUAACAAUUUUUUUUUUCUUUUUCUUUAUAUCAUGGGAUUGGGAAUAUAUGUCUCUGAAGCAUGUGACCAAAAAGCAAACAUGAAUGAACAUGGAACCUCAAAAGAGCAAGGGCUUUUGGUAUGUAGUCAAAAGCAACAAUAAUGAAGUGCUGGGAAAAAAAUUGACAACAGUGGACCAUCUUUGACCAAAGUCCAUGACGCCAAAACUAAACUAGGAUGAGGACAAACAAGGAUUUCCCCAAUGUAUAACCAAAAAAAGAUAUUCUUAGAUUUUAGUAAAAUUCUGUGUAAAUAAUUAAAUAUAACCAUAAUUAAUAAGAAAAUUGACUAAUUAAAAUGACAAUUAUUAAAUUCAAACUUUUAUUUCAAAUGACAUAUUCUUAAUUAUUAAAUAAUUUGCACAUGAUACACAUGAUAUUCUAAAGCACACUUAGUUAUUGAAUAAUUAACUGAUGAGGGAAAAGAUGAUAGUACAAAACAUUAGUAACAGUGACUAGAAUCUGUUGCAAACUUGCAGUGCCUUUUUUUCCCCUUUAUUCUUUAUUUGUGAUGUAUGUUUGUUGUUUUGGUAACUCAUUCAAGGUUUAGAAAAUUAGAACAUAUUGUUCAUUGAAUUUACUCAUCAGCAGUGAAAUAAUUUUGUAGUGUCUUAGUACAAAUUUACAACUCUGUAGAUUGUUGGAGAAAGAAACCUACCUGGAUUCAUUAAGUAAGAGAUUUUCAAGAGGAUUAAGCACAAGAGUAGUAAAAAUAGAGCUUGAUAAUUAUUAAAUGACACAACACAAGAAUUAAAAUGUCCCUAUAGCUAUUUGUGAUUAUAUUUUACAUAAUUUCUUGGUGCAAAGACAAGUUCUGUCAAUUAAGGAAGAAAGCUUGACCAAUAAGAGAAAAAAGUAUUCCAGGUCAUCAACAUAAAUAAAGUUUUCAACAGCUAUAUGGCUCUUGAUUCAUAUAAUGAGCACCAUACAUGAUUCAAUAUAUAUAUAUUUAUUUAUAAGUUUAAUGAUUUGAUUAUUGCCCAUCCAUGAGGAUUAUGUAAUUAGUUUAAAUAAAAUUAUUUUUUCUCCAUAUAUGCAUAAAUGUGUGCUAUUAAAAACAAUUCAAGAUGCAAAAAUUAAGCUGAAAAUAAUUUCUCUCAAAUAGUGAAUAGCCUAAAAUUGAUAAAACAAAUAGCCUAAAAAAGGAUAAAGGGAUUACAAGAAAGAAAUGAUAACAUAGUAGCCAGUGAAAAUCGAAAACCAGAAGUAUCCUUCAAAGAAUAAUUAUAUAUUGAGAAACAAAAUAUUAGUCUUUUUUGUCCUUCAAUUUUUUAAACUAAUCAAAACGAACGGUACUUAUUUUUUAUUGUAGAUCAAGUUGAAUAGUCUCUAUGUACACAAUCAACAACAUUAACUCAAAAAAAGCUUGUGUGGACCGUUAAAUACAUGGCAUAUCAUUAGACAAAUUGACACGGUGUAAAAGUGUUUCAAUCAAUUUUAUAGAUAUUAAAAUCGAACCGAUAAUUAAUUCGACUAAAAUACUGAAUUAUUGAAUUAAUAGUUUAAUUAGUAUAUUAUUGAUUCAAUCAAUUGACCUAAUUAUAAUUNUAUAUUAUAUUAUUAAAAAAGCAUUCUAUGUAAUUAAAAUGUAAUUUAUCCAAUUUUAUAUAGUAUAUUUAAUUAAAAGUACCAUAUAUAACAAGGAGAAAGUUUAGUGGAACAAGGGGAACCUUUAGACUGUUUACGUUUUGAAACUUCUCUGUCAAUGAUAGGAAGAAGAAUGCUAAAGGAGAAGAAACAAAAGAGUAGCUAGGGAAAGGCCGAAAAGAACAGUUAGGUUUCCCUUUAGUGAAUGAUUUACAAAUAACUCUAAACAUUUAAAGAAUUAAAAAGCAUAUAAAAGUGGUAAAAAUAUAUGUCGUAGUGUGGUACUAGGUAUUGGUUGGAUUUGGUAAACGGAAUGGGAUUUGAACUCCCAUACAAAAGGCAUGGAAGUAAGAAUAAUUAAAAGUAGGAUAAACUAGUAAACUACCAAAAUUUAUCUAAAUUAUUUUGUUACUGAUAAAAAUAUUUUAAAUUUUGUUAUCAAUAAAAAUGUCAAAAUUAUUUAAAAACAUAAAAAAAUGUCUAACAUUAAAUAUAUAUUCUCAACAAAAUUUUAGAGAAUGAAUUUUGAUGCGAUUUUUUGUAGCAUGAUUAAAAAAAUAAAUAUUUUAAUCCUUAAAAUUUGGUUAGUUUUCGCUAAGUAUAUAUUUUUUUGUGAUUUUUUGGCCAACAAAAACCAAUAAUACUUUUAAAAAAUACAGAGUCUAGAAAAAUCAAACUUUUAUCUUUUUUUUGCGUAAAUUUUUUAAAUAGUUAUCUAAAUAUUCUUAUAAAAUUUUAGAUCAAAUACAUAAAUAUUUUGUUAAAUAUAAAAAUCGUUUGCCACAUAUAAAAAAUAAUAUUUUUUUAGAUAUUUUUAUUGUAUUUUUAAAUAAUUUUAAAAUAUUUUUAUUGAUAACAAAAUUUAAGAGUAUUUUUAUCUAAAAACGAAUACAUAGGGAACAAGUGGAGGCCUGGCCCUAACUUUUUAAAAAAAGAAAAACUAAUAAUAAAAUUUAAGAAGUUCAACCCAAUAAAAUAUAAUGAUUUUAAUUUUUUUUAAAUUUCUAAACUGAGUAAACACUACAUGUCUACGUUAUCUUUCUUCCCUUAUUCCUUUUGACAUUUAGUAUUCUUUUGAAGCCAUAACUUGAAGAGCCACGCUCUCCACUGUCAAGUGUCACAACGGUACAAGGUACAAUAUCUUAAACACUUUUUUAUUAUAUAUUUUAAAUUUUAAAUUUCUUAGACUUAGAGAUUAUAUAUCUUAAACAGUUACUAUGCACUCUAUUAUUCUUGUUGAUAUAUCUCUAUGUAUAACCUAAGUAAAUAUGUUCGUAUAAAGUUUGCCACUAUUUAAUUUAAUUUAAUUUUCAUUUAGAUUUAGAUUCACAUUUUACAGAGGAUGGACAAUUAACAAUGAUCUUUUAAUUUUCAACAAUUAUCAAACCAUUUUUCAUAGUUAAACAUCUACUUAAACAUCUACUGUUAUUUUUAAAUAGCUUUAAUAAUGAAAUUAUUACUUUUAUAAAUGUUGAGUUAUACACGUAUAAAAUUUUAGUCAUGCAGCUCAUUCAUCAAAGAUUUCCCAACAUGCCUCCUACAUGUCCAUUAUGCCAGGAAGAAAACGAAACAAUAAACCAUUGUAUAUUUCAGUAUGAAAAUGCGAAACUGAUAUGGCAAAAGGUAGAAAUGGAAGCAUAUAUACCUGGAUCUAGGAUAAUUAACUUCUU